UGUAGUGUCUUCCAUGUUUUCAUUCAUUUAACAUUAUUUCAUGUGUCAAGGUCUAUUAUUGUUGUGGUUUUCAUGAUUUCCCUCUUUAGGUUCAAAUUUGAUGAUGAACGGGGAACAAAGGAAGACAUAAAGAGGGCGUUAGAGGAGCAGUAUGGUGGUGAGGAAGAGGUAGGCAUUUACCAGCAUUACUUCAGGAGCUUUUUCUUCCUAUAUCAUUGUUUUGAUUACGAAGUUAUCUUGUUUCCUCUUGCUGCUUUGCUCAACAGUUGCCGCAGACAAAUCUUGGUUUCAAUAAUACCCCAUUUAAAUUUAAGAAAUAUUCAAAUGCAUACAUGCUUGUGUAUAUACGUGAAAGUGACAAGGAGAAGAUAAUGUGGAUGAAAAGGACAUCGCAGGGCAUCUUAGGAUAAGGUUGAAGAAAGAACAAGAAGAAAAAGAGGACAAAAGAAGAUACAAAGCUCAGGCUCACCUUUAUACUAUUAUCAAGGUUGCACGUGAUGAAGACCUAGUAGAACAGAUUGGAAAGGAUAUUUAUUUUGAUCUUGUGGAUCAUGAAAGGGUUCAUAGUUUUCGUAUUCAGAAGCAGAUGCGUUUAACCUUUUCAAG